CUAAGUACUUUUAAGUGAAUCAAAGUUUUUAUAUAUUUUUAAUGAAUUAUAAUUAUAAAGUAAUUGACAAUUACUAAUUUAUAGGAUGUAACUUAUAGGUAAGUUAACUAUGUAUGGAGGUAUAAAAUCUUGAUUGAAGUAUCAGUUCAUUAUGGCGAUGUAGACCGAGCACUUCCGGUACUAAAAAAAGCAAUUCAAAAAGAAGGAAGGCUACUUAAAAUGAAAAAACAAUAUCACGAAAAAAAAUCAGACAAGAGAGCAAAAAAAAAAGCUGAUGCUAGAAAGAAAAGAUAUCAGCAAGAGUGUAGAAGACAGCGUUAUGGUUGGUAGGU